rnacentral:rRNA from 1 species
UACGGAGGGCGCAAGCGUUGUUCGGAAUUACUGGGCGUAAAGCGCGUGUAGGCGGCCAGGUAAGUCGGAUGUGAAAGCCCGGGGCCCAACCCGGGAACUGCACCCGAUACUGGCUGGCUGGAGUUCCGGAGAGGAUGGUGGAAUUUCCGGUGUAGAGGUGAAAUUCGUAGAUAUCGGGAGGAACACCAAUGGCGAAGGCGGCCAUCUGGACUGUGACUGACGCUGAGACGCGAAAGCGUGGGGAGCAAACAGG